AGUGAAUAGAUACCCGGGUAGUCCUAGCCGUAAACGAUACUCGCUAGGUGUCGGCCACGGUGCGACCGUUGUCGGUGCCGUAGGGAAAGCCGUGAAGCGAGCCACCUGGGAAGUACGGCCGCAAGGCUGAAACUUAAAGGAAUUGGCGGGGGAGCACCACAACGGGUGGAGCUUGCGGUUUAAUUGGAUUCAACGCCGGAAAUCUUACCGGGACCGACAGCAAUAUGAAGGCCAGGCUGAAGACUUUGCCGGAUUAGCUGAGAGGUGGUGCAUGGCCGUCGUCAGUUCGUACUGUGAAAGCAUCCUGUUAAGUCAGGCAACGAGCGAGACCCACGCCCACAGUUGCCAGCGUACUCUCUGGAGUGACGGGUACACUGUGGGGACCGCCGCUGCUAAAGCGGAGGAAGGAAUGGGGCAACGGUAGGUCAGUAUGCCCCGAAUAUCCCGGGCUACACGCGAGCUACAAUGGUUGGUACAAUGGGUAUCUACCCCGAAAGGGGACGGGAAUCUCCUAAAACCAAUCUUAGUUCGGAUUGAGGGGCUGCAACUCGCCCUCAUGAA
rnacentral:rRNA from 1 species